UACGUAGGGCGCAAGCGUUGUCCGGAAUUAUUGGGCGUAAAGAGCUCGUAGGUGGCUUGUCGCGUCUGCCGUGAAAGCCCGUGGCUUAACUACGGGUCUGCGGUGGAUACGGGCAGGCUAGAGGCUGGUAGGGGCAAGCGGAAUUCCUGGUGUAGCGGUGAAAUGCACAGAUAUCAGGAGGAACACCGGUGGCGAAGGCGGCUUGCUGGGCCAGUUCUGACGCUGAGGAGCGAAAGCGUGGGGAGCGAACAGG
rnacentral:rRNA from 1 species